GGAGAAUUGAGUGAAUAACAAUAUGGCUUCCGAUUGGACGAUCUAUGUUAAUACUAAAGCAAUGAUGAACACGUAAAAAAAUUCACUUUUUUUUGUAUAACACCUGAAGAGACCUGAGGUUGGAUUAAGUUCAAAUAUUUUUGAUCACCUUGGAUGUAGAUACACCAGUCGCAACCCCGUGGAAUUUUUAGGGGUAUGCGGCCUUUGUAACGGCAGCAAGUUGCUCAGGCCCACGGGCAUUGCCUCAACUGCCUGUCGCACACUCAUGAGUGUGAGUCACGGGGGCUGUGCCAAAUGUAUCACCGGCCACCUCAUACGCUGCUACAUCGCAGCGCGUCACGCGAAGCGCACCGGCCAUCCAACCAUCGCAGCGGCGUCUCCCGACUUCCACCCGCCGAUAGUGUCAUACACCAGAGGAGUGUAACCUCGUUGCGGCGUCGACAGACUGGACCAUCCCCUCGUCGAUCCACGGGUCUGAGCAGCGUUGUGGCAACGCUGCAACAGCUGCAGCGCCUUUUAGGCUAAACAGUCGUUUAGGGGGGGCGGGAUGGCUAAAUGAGCACCUCACCUCUCUCUUAAUAUAAUACUCCUACACCAUCCAUAUCAUCCACACAUCUACACCAUAUUCAUCAUCCACACCUUACACCCGACACACCGACAUCAUCUACACUACACACGAGACGGACGGCGCCGACCUCUCUUUGGUUUUUGUCGGUCCGUGCGCUCAUACGUAGUCAUCAUCUUCAACCUUAAUUUUUUCGAAAUCGUCACAAGUUUGAAUCGUAUCUUGGUAAAUUUCAAAAACAAUGGCUGAUUUGUGUUUUCAAUGUAAUAAGUCAGAUUCGGGAGGUGAAUCGCUUAUUGAAGUAGUGCGCRGUAUGAAAUUUCUGCGAACUGCAAGUGUCGAACGAAACGACGGAAAAUUUGAUUAUUUAAAAUCAGUAACCUCUGUUAAAGUGCAUGAAAAGUGCCGAAGUGUUUACAUUAGUAAAAACUAUACCCAGCAGCAAAMCGGAAACAAGAAGAAGGAGAAACUAUAACUUCUCCAUUAGUACUCCGUACAAAACGAGGUGAAGUGUUUGAUUUUAAGAAUCAAUGUUUAUUUUGUGGCGAAGUUGCUGAUGUGGCUGCAGACAAAAGGAAAAGAGAAAAAUACAGGCGGAUAAAAUGUGAGUACUCUUGAGUUCAAAGAUACUGUUAUCAAAAAAGCAGAAGAACGUGGGGUUGAUUUCGGAGAAUUGGUGAAAAGUCGUAUAAUUUUACAGUAUGAUUUGAUCGCUGCUGAAGCGAAGUACCUUGCUGCUUGCUUUACAAACUUUUCAAAUAAAUCAUCAUCAUCAUCGCCUCUUGAGAAGCCUCUUCAAGAUAAUCAUGAUACACAAGCUAUGUUAGAGAUUUUCAAUUACAUCGAAAAUAAUGAUGGUUCUCAAUUCACACUAAAAGAACUUAAAGACGUUUUGACAGGGUAUAUGAAAGAUGAUAAAACCAUCAUUUCAAGACUACAUCGGUUAAGUACCGAUAUCGUAAUUACGAAGAAAGUUGGAGCUUUCAAAAUCAUUUCUUUCCGUGAUGCACAAGCUAAUAUUCUAUCAAAAGCUUGGUAGGAAAGUAAAAAAAUGGAUCCUGAAGCAGAAUGGCUAAGAAUUGUAGAAGCUGCAGCAGCAAUUAUUAAAGAAGAUAUCCGAACAUCUAUAGUUGAAACUAAAUCUUAUCCACCUCCUAGUAAAAUGUUGGAUAAAGUUAAUCAAGAAAUUCCAAAAACUUUAUUACAUUUCUUAGAAGAAGUCAUCGUCAAAAACUGGAAAGGACAAAUUGAUCAUUUAAAAACAAAAUGUAUGGCUGCAAUACGGGAAUGUUCUCAGUGCUCUACCAUAUCAGAGCGACAUUAACGAAGAUGGAACUUUCGACCCCGAAAUCAUGAAAGAACUUGAGGCAAAUGUCGUUGAAGACGAUAAUGAAGACCAGUUUGAAAUUUACCAGCAGCCGGAAGACGACGAUGAAGAGGAAGAAGACGAUUAAAAUUAUAAAUUGUAG